GAUGAACGCUGACAGAAUGCUUAACACAUGCAAGUCAUUGGCGAAGCUGCGCUUGCGCAGUCUAGCCAAGGCGGACGGGUGAGUAACGCGUAAGGAACUUGCUCUGCAGACAGGGAUAACAGACGGAAACGACUGAUAACACCUCGUAUUGUCAGUCUGGCGCAUGCCGUCCUGAUGAAAGGAGACGCUGCAGGGGAGCCUUGCGUCCUAUUAGCCAGUUGGUGGGGUAACUGCCCACCAAGGCGAUGAUAGGUAGCCGGCCUGAGAGGGUGAACGGCCACAAGGGGACAGAGAUACGGCCCUUACUCCUACGGGAGGCAGCAGUGGGGAAUAUUGGACAAUGGGGGCAACCCUGAUAGAGCAAUUCUGUGUGCAAGAAGAAGGUUUUCGGAUUGUAAAGUGCUUUCAGCAGGGAAGAAGAAAGUGACGGUACCUGCAGAAGAAGCGACGGCUAAAUACGUG
rnacentral:rRNA from 1 species